rnacentral:misc_RNA from 1 species
UUUUCAGUCCUCUGCUUUCCGCUUCAGCUCCCCAAACUCGCCGGCGAAUACAUCGGAAUUAUACCUUCCUUACAGUUCUCUUUUGUCUCUACUGUACAUCCAUGAGCCAUUAUUCAGUCGGAACACUAAGCUUUAGUCUAUCUGUAGUGUUUGAUGUAAAUUGAUGCAGCUCGAGAUGACUAAAACUGGCAUUUCAAUGGUUUCUCCAUCUUCUGAAUCUGUUUAUGUCCUCCGCCGCCCGACGUUCAGCCUUUUCCGCUUCUAGAAGAUCAGGUUCCUCUGCUUACCCCAGGAAGGCGUUAUUAUUAAAACUAUGUCGUAUCGCUG